AGGUGCCGUGUGGACUUUUUGGGUUUCCAGAUGAAGGAUUUGAGAUCUCCUGAAUGUCAUCACAGUCCUGCUACCAGAGCGAGGAUCGGGCAGAGUGCAGGUGACGGAGGUGAACGAGGCGCCCGAAGCGAGCCGCGAGAAGAUGCGUCCACCCCUCGAGGAGGAGCUCCAAAGCGCCGCACCGUCCCGGAGCACCGCCCAAGUUAAGUGGGGAGAUGGGACGCGUCGGGUCGUCGGUUGUGUGCGGGUCG